rnacentral:tRNA from 1 species
GGAGGGGCUAGCCCAUUGGCGCGGGCACCCGUUUCGAAAACGGCCGAGCAAUGCUCCUGGGAGUUCGAUUCUCCCCCCCUCCG